GACGAACGCUGGCGGCGCGCCUAACACAUGCAAGUCGAGCGUGAAGCCCCCUUCGGGGGGUGGAAAGCGGCGAACGGGUGAGUAACACGUGAGGAACCUACCCCGGACUCUGGGAUAACAGCGGGAAACCGCUGCUAAUACCGGGUACACCACCUCCACCGCAUGGCGGAAGUGGGAAAGAUUUAUCGGUCCGGGAUGGCCUCGCGGCCUAUCAGCUUGUUGGUGGGGUAACGGCCUACCAAGGCUACGACGGGUAGCUGGCGUGAGAGCGUGGCCAGCCACACUGGGACUGAGAUACGGCCCAGACUCCUACGGGUGGCAGCAGUGGGGAAUCUUGCACAAUGGGCGAAAGCCUGAUGCAGCGACGCCGCGUGAGGGAUGAAGGCCUUAGGGUUGUAAACCUCUUUCAGCAGGGACGAAGCGAAAGUGACGGUACCUGCAGAAGAAGCCCCGGCUAACUACGUGCCAGCAGCCGCGGUAAUACGUAGGGGGCGAGCGUGUCCGGAUUAUUGGCGUAAG
rnacentral:rRNA from 1 species